AUAUAAAAAACGGGAUUGUACUAAUAAUUAGCAACUAUGAAGCAUGCUAUCUUUUAAAGGCCCAUUGCACAUUAGCUUAGUAACCUGGCUGUAAGAAAAACAAAUCUUGAAUUCCUUUUAAUAGUUAGCAAGAAAAAUGAGGCCAAAAAAUUAUGUAGUUUACCUAUAGCAAUCAAAAGGCAAACUAGUGUUAAAAAUAAUUCACCCAAAACUUAGAAAUGGGGGUGGGGUGGGGAGUAUACAGUAUGACUUUUCAGUGUAAUAUAGGCCACUGUAUUAAAGACCUACCAAAGGACUACUUAGUUCCCUAAGAAACUGUACCUGCACCUCACUUUGCUAUUUUACUGCUUGAUUAGAACAGGUACUAUAAAUGACAUGUUAACUUAUAGUUUGUAUUUGGUGGAAAUGGUCCACUACAAAGGUUAUGGUUUAAUUGUCCUAUAGAAUAUUAACUAGUUUGUAUUUAACAUUCUUCCCCUACGACUCCCAAAAUGCCAGUAAGUACCCACUUUAUCAAAAUGACUUGAAUAAGCUUUGUCCAUCUUAUCAACUUCUUCAUUUUUGACUUAAUAUACCUAUGACAAGGAUUUAUUCUGUAUUUGUAUGAGAGUCACUUUUAAAAUUUCCCAAAAUUAUUCUUUGAAACUGUGUUGACUCAGAAAUUGAUCAAAUUCUAUACUUAUGACAAUUAAAAAUAACAUUAUUACUUUGAAUUUCAAAACAAAGUGUUUUCUAAUUCAGCAAUCACUAAAUGUACUUACAGCAUUGUCUGUGUCCCUCAUUGUAUUUUUAAUACAGAAUGAUAACUUUAUGUCCAAAUUGGAACUUAGAGAAUAAGCUUUAGACAAUUCUAACAAAAUAGAACUGGAUUUGGCUGUUUGGGAGUUGGAAAAGAGAAAUGCAUCAUAUUGGGGAAAUAUCUGAGAAAAUAGUGAAAUGAAAGAGAUAAUUUGUGAAUUUGGCUGAAAGAGGUGAUUUUUGAGAUAGCAGCUGUUCCUUGGAAUGAGAUUGUGGCUAAACCAGAACCUCCAGUAGACCCGCAACGAAAGGACUUAUUGUGUG